rfam:Microbotryum lychnidis-dioicae p1A1 Lamole unplaced genomic scaffold supercont1.89, whole genome shotgun sequence.
GCAAGUAUGCUGGAAUUGGUAGACAGGUGGUUCUUAAGCAACCAUGAUUUCAAAUCAUAUGGGUUCAAUUCCCAUUACUUGUA